rnacentral:rRNA from 1 species
UACAGAGGUGGCAAGCGUUGUUCGGAAUUACUGGGCGUAAAGGGCGCGUAGGCGGCUCGACAAGUCCCGCGUGAAAGCCCCCGGCUCAACUGGGGAACUGCGCGGGAAACUGUCGGACUUGAGUUCGGGAGAGGGAAGCGGAAUUCCGGGUGUAGGCGGUGAAAUGCGUAGAUAUCCGGAGGAACACCGGUGGCGAAGGCGGCUUCCUGGGACAAUGACUGACGCUGAGGUGCGAAAGCGUGGGGAGCAAACAGG